GAAGGGGGCUAGCGUUGUUCGGAAUUACUGGGCGUAAAGCGCGUGUAGGCGGUUUUCCAAGUUGGGUGUGAAAGCCUUGGGCUUAACCCAAGAAAUGCACUCAGUACUGGAAGACUAGAGGACCGGAGAGGAUAGYGGAAUUCCCAGUGUAGYGGUGAAAUACGUAGAGAUUGGGAAGAACACCAGUGGCGAAGGCGGCUAUCUGGACGGUUUCUGACGCUAAGACGCGAAAGCGUGGGGAGCAAACAGGAUUAGAUACCCUGGUAGUCCACGCCGUAAACGAUGGGUGCUAGACGUUGGCGGGUACCCAAUCCCGCCGUGCCGGAGCUAACGCGAUAAGCAUUCCGCCUGGGGAGUACGGUCGCAAGGCUG
rnacentral:rRNA from 1 species